UGGGGAAUCUUGCGCAAUGGGCGAAAGCCUGACGCAGCGACGCCGCGUGGGGGAAGAAGGCCUUCGGGUUGUAAACCUCUUUCAGGUGGGACGAAGCCACUCGGGUGAAUAGCCCAGAGGGUGACGGUACCUCCAGAAGAAGCCCCGGCUAACUACGUGCCAGCAGCCGCGGUAAUACGUAGGGGGCAAGCGUUGUCCGGAUUUAUUGGGCGUAAAGAGCGUGUAGGCGGCCUGGUAGGUCGGUUGUGAAAACUGGAGGCUUAACCUUCAGACGUCGACCGAAACCCUCAGGCUAGAGUCCGGAAGAGGAGAGUGGAAUUCCUGGUGUAGCGGUGAAAUGCGCAGAUAUCAGGAAGAACACCCGUGGCGAAGGCGGCUCUCUGGGACGGUACUGACGCUGAGACGCGAAAGCGUGGGGAGCGAACAGGAUUAGAUACCCAGGUAGUCCACGCCGUAAACGAUGGGUGCUAGGUGUGGGGGGUGUCGGACU
rnacentral:rRNA from 1 species